rnacentral:rRNA from 1 species
GACGAACGCUGGCGGCGUGCUUAACACAUGCAAGUCGAACGGAAAGGCCCUGCUUUUGUGGGGUGCUCGAGUGGCGAACGGGUGAGUAACACGUGAGUAACCUGCCCUUGACUUUGGGAUAACUUCAGGAAACUGGGGCUAAUACCGGAUAGGAGCUCCUGCUGCAUGGUGGGGGUUGGAAAGUUUCGGCGGUUGGGGAUGGCCUCGCGGCUUAUCAGCUUGUUGGUGGGGUAGUGGCUUACCAAGGCUUUGACGGGUAGCCGGCCUGAGAGGGUGACCGGCAACAUUGGGACUGAGAUACGGCCCAGACUCCUACGGGAGGCAGCAGUGGGGAAUAUUGCACAAUGGGCGGAAGCCUGAUGCAGCAACGCCGCGUGCGGGAUGACGGCCUUCGGGUUGUAAACCGCUUUCGCCUGUGACGAAGCGUGAGUGACGGUGAUGGGUAAAGUAGCACCGGCUAACUACGUG